rnacentral:rRNA from 1 species
GGUGUCGAUGACGUCGGGGGUCCACCUGUUCCCAUGCCGAACACAGAAGUUAAGCCCGAUGGUGCCGAACAUACUUGGAUGGUAACGUCCCGGAAAAAUAGGAAGAUGC